rnacentral:tRNA from 2 species
CGGAGCGUGGCGCAGCCUGGUUAGCGCACUUGACUGGGGGUCAAGGGGUCGGAGGUUCAAAUCCUCUCGCUCCGACGA